UUGGAGCCCAAAUCCCACCAGACUUCAAAGUUUCUCAUGAUUUUGCUGUGAAUUUUGAUGAGGACAACCCAGAAUGUGCUGGUAUACAAGGUGUUGUUGAGGCUUAUCAGAACUGCCUCCCGAAAAUCCAGUUGUACGGCCCCACUAAUAUUGCUCCCAUCAUCCAGAAAGUUGCCGACUCUGCCUCUGAGGAGAUGCAUACCAAAGAGG